UGUGUGUGUUUAGACAUCUGUUUCAACCACAACUUCGCAUGAUGUGGCUGCAGUGUAAAGUUACAUCAGUCCAACCAAACGCAUUUCGCCCGGCACAUUUGGAUCUCAUUCGAAAGAGUCUUGAGAAGGUUGUGGCGGAGGAAGACCUUUCCUUUCUUGCUGUCGUGAAAUUUGUAAGAGCUGGUGGCGAAUGGGAAAACAAGGCUUGUUUUGACCAGGUGUUGCCAGCUUAUUGGUAGAGUAGGUAGCUCGGUCUGAAGUGAAGUCCAUCCAUCAGUGAACCGAAAUGCAAACAAAGAAAAGUUCAAUCCACCAUAAAAAGGCACCAAAUGAUCUCUUGGCUCCCGCCUGCAAAGCCGCACAAAAGGCGUCCUGAAUUGGCCCACGUACAGUCAAGGUGUGGGAACUCGAGCCAAAGGCUGGCAUUGCAUAGCUGACAAAUAAAUAGCAUGCCCUCCCUCAA